rnacentral:rRNA from 1 species
UCCGUAGGUGAACCUGCGGAAGGAUCAUUAGUGAUUGCCAUCUUGGCUUAAACUAUAUCCAUCUACACCUGUGAACCGUUUGAUUGAAUCUUCUGAUUCAAUUUUACAAACAUUGUGUAAUGAACGUCAUUAGAUCAUAACAAAAAAAAACUUUUAACAACGGAUCUCUUGGCUCUCGCAUCGAUGAAGAACGCAGCGAAAUGCGAUAAGUAAUGUGAAUUGCAGAAUUCAGUGAAUCAUCGAAUCUUUGAACGCAACUUGCGCUCUCUGGUAUUCCGGAGAGCAUGCCUGUUUGAGUGUCAUGAAAUCUCAACCAUUAGGGUUUCUUAAUGGCUUGGAUUUGGAGGUUGCCAUUCUAAAUGGCUCCUCUUAAAGGAGUUAGCAAGUUUUACUAUUGCUAUCUGGCGUAAUAAGUUUCGCUGGAAUGGUAUUGUGAAGCGUGCUUCUAAUCGUCUUCGGACAAUUACUUUGACUCUGGCCUCAAAUCAGGUAGGACUACCCGCUGAACUUAAGCAUA